GCUGGACGGGUAGUUCCAGCUAAUUGGGAGGCUGAGACAGGAGGAUUGCUUGAGCCCAGGAGUUCUGGUCUGUAGUGAGCUACGCUGAUUGGGUGUCCACACUAAGUUUGGUACUAAUAAGGUGACCUCCUGGGAGCGGGGGACCACCAGGUUGACUAAGGAAGGGUGAACCGGCCCAGGUCGGAAACGGAGCAGGUGAAACUCCUGUGCUGAUCAGUAGGGGGAUCUUGCCUGUGAAUAGCCACUGCACUCCAGCCUGGGCGACAUAGCGAGAUCCCAUCUCU
rnacentral:SRP_RNA from 1 species